rnacentral:RNase_P_RNA from 2 species
UAUGGUGGAUAGUCGCGGUUUCUGCUUCGCAGGGAUCGAGGAAAUUCGAGACACGCCCACGACCGCUUCGGCGGUCGCGGAGUAUGGUGCCUGGCGCAAGCCAGGGCAGGGCGACCUGACGACGGCAAAAGCGUCUCUUCGGAGAAGCGAGUCGCCAUAAAGUGCCACAGAAACGAUGUUCCCCGGCGACGGGGAAGUGCAAGGGUAAACUCCACCAGCGUGCAACCCAAAUAGGCGGCGUCCAGCCGCGGGUAGGGGCACCCGCUGCGGCGGGAAGGAAGUCAGGCCCUAGGGAGCAGCUUCCUUAGACAAAUGACUAUCCAACGGCGUAAGCCGGGGACAGAAUCUCGAUUACAGCC